rnacentral:tRNA from 1 species
GGGGUUGUGGCUCAGCGGUAUAGCACUCACCUGGCAUGUGCGGGGACCUGGGUUCGAUUCUCAGCAGCACAU